rnacentral:rRNA from 1 species
AGCGAACGCUGGCGGCAGGCCUAACACAUGCAAGUCGAACGAACCCUUCGGGGUUAGUGGCGGACGGGUGAGUAACACGUGGGAACGUGCCUUUAGGUUCGGAACAACUCAGGGAAACUUGUGCUAAUACCGAAUGUGCCCUUCGGGGGAAAGAUUUAUCGCCUUUAGAGCGGCCCGCGUCUGAUUAGCCAGUUGGUGAGGUAAUGGCUCACCAAGGCUACGAUCAGUAGCUGGUCUGAGAGGAUGACCAGCCACAUUGGGACUGAGACACGGCCCAAACUCCUACGGGAGGCAGCAGUGGGGAAUCUUGCGCAAUGGGCGAAAGCCUGACGCAGCCAUGCCGCGUGGAUGAUGAAGGUCUUAGGAUUGUAAAAUCCUUUCACCGGUGAAGAUAAUGACUGUAGCCGGAGAAGAAGCCCCGGCUAACUUCGUGCCAGCAGCCGCCGUAACAC